AAUAAAAUAGUUUAAAAUUAAAAAACAUUGAUUUGUGGAAUCAAAAAUAUUUUUUAAAUUUUUAUUA
rnacentral:tRNA from 1 species